rnacentral:rRNA from 1 species
GCUUGUCUCAAAGAUUAAGCCAUGCAUGUCUAAGUACGCACGGCCGGUACAGUGAAACUGCGAAUGGCUCAUUAAAUCAGUUAUGGUUCCUUUGGUCGCUCGCUCCUCUCCUACUUGGAUAACUGUGGUAAUUCUAGAGCUAAUACAUGCCGACGGGCGCUGACCCCCCCUCCCGGGGGGGGGAUGCGUGCAUUUAUCAGAUCAAAACCAACCCGGUCAGCUACCUCUCGGCUCCGGCCGCGGGGCGGGCGCCGGCGGCUUUGGUGACUCUAGAUAACCUCGGGCCGAUCGCACGCCCCCCGUGGCGGCGACGACCCAUUC